rnacentral:ncRNA from 2 species
AAACAACACGAGGGGUGUCCCACUAUUUCUUUGGGGCUGAGAUGUGCUUGCACUAUCCCUUUGAACCUGUAAGUUCAGACUUGCGAAGGAACGUGUUCAAUUCGGGCC